UACAGAGGGUGCGAGCGUUAAUCGGAAUUACUGGGCGUAAAGCGUGCGUAGACGGUUUCGUAAGUCGGGUGUGAAAUCCCCGGGCUCAACCUGGGAAUUGCAUUCGAAACUGCGAGGCUAGGGUACGGAAGAGGGAAGCGGAAUUUCUGGUGUAGCGGUGAAAUGCGUAGAUAUCAGGAGGAACACCAAUGGCGAAGGCAGCUCGCUGGGACGUGACUGACGCUGAGACGCGAAAGCGUGGGGAGCAAACAGG
rnacentral:rRNA from 1 species